rnacentral:rRNA from 1 species
CCUACGGGGGCUGCAGUGGGGAAUAUUGGACAAUGGGCGAAAGCCUGAUCCAGCCAUGCCGCGUGUGUGAAGAAGGCCUUCGGGUUGUAAAGCACUUUCAGUGGGGAAGAAAGCCUUGGGGCUAAUACCCUCGAGGAAGGACAUCACCCACAGAAGAAGCACCGGCUAACUCCGUGCCAGCAGCCGCGGUAAUACGGAGGGUGCGAGCGUUAAUCGGAAUUACUGGGCGUAAAGCGCGCGUAGGCGGUCUGAUAAGCCGGUUGUGAAAGCCCCGGGCUCAACCUGGGAACGGCAUCCGGAACUGUCAGGCUAGAGUGCAGGAGAGGAAGGUAGAAUUCCCGGUGUAGCGGUGAAAUGCGUAGAGAUCGGGAGGAAUACCAGUGGCGAAGGCGGCCUUCUGGACUGACACUGACGCUGAGGUGCGAAAGCGUGGGUAGCAAACAGGAUUAGAUACCCUAGUAGU